AGGUGUUCUUAAAGGCAUAGUAGCCAGCAUAUUUGCAACAGUGACACCUUAAAACUCUAAUGUAGACAAGUUAUUAUUUUAGAAGUGUUAGCCAGUCAGAUGCAUCGCUGUGCUUCCCACUGAUCUGCUAACAAUGUUAAAACACAACUUCCUCUGUCUAUUUAGCCCUUAUUUAGCCCAUAAGUGACAGCUUCCUGUUUUUAUAAAUACUAACAGAUAAACAGCAAGACAUUUUCCAAUUUCUUGGCCUCAUAUUUCCUUCAAAGAUAUCAAAAAGUAUUUUCCUGGAUUCUUUGGCAAGGUAUGUUUGAUGUGAAUCAAGCACUGAGGAAAACAAAGCAAAAGACUCAUCAUAAGGAGAAAGCCAUAGGUUUGCAUCCAAACCUUGACAGUCAAGUGACAGAAAAACCAAACUAUAAUUCUGUUUUGGUAGAUUUAGUUGCUCUUAGCAUCCAGUUCAGGAUUAGUACUGACCUUAGCAGAAAAAGGAGUAAGCCACAAUGGCUUAGGCUCUGAAAGCAGUUUGACAGUGUGUUCCCAUCGUCUUCAGUAUUACUGCGGUUUCUCACAGUCUCUCUUCUCACUGUGGUGCUUUCUGUCAGCUCCACAGACCCAGACUGAGAGGCAGCUUGUGAAACUUAGUAUACUAGCUGAAUGCAUUCCAUUUGCCAAAGUACUAAAAAGGAAGAUAUUUUUAAAUAAUUGUUCCACUGUCUGGUUUGUUUAAUCUUUUUCCAUUGUUCUCACUUUAGAAAGUUCCAUUCAACCACAUGGCUGGAAUAAUAUCAUCUUUAGAAAUGCCCUCGAUUCAGUUUAUCUCCUUAAAUUACGGAGCCAGAUCUUCUCCUGUGCUGUAAAUCAGCACUCCAGUGCUUAAAAACACAUGUAUAUAUGUGUGUGUGUGUGUGUGUAUACAUAUAAAAACAUAUACACACACACACAUUUCUCUUGUUUGUAUAUAGUUUCUGCCAAAAAUACCAUGCUAUAGAUACUACAGGAAUACGGGCAAGUUUUACACAUCUGAGUGACAUAUAAACUAAGCUCUGUGGCAGAUGAUCACCCUGGAGGUGCACAGGUUUGUCAUAACAUUAAAGGUAUCUUUAAGCUGAUAAAAUUACCUCCAUGUGCCAUUGUUAAUUUAGUGGAAAGGAAGCAUAAAAUAUUAUCUGAAUUAAAUCCAAAAGAAAAAGACAACAAACAGAACCCCCCAGCAUUCAGAGAUGUAGCUGAUUUGUUGCAGAAUUGUUCACUGGCUGAUCUACAGCAUAUUGAGACAUUAUUUUGCUCAUGUUUUAAAAGAUAUGUCUUGAAUCACUGAACCAACCCAAAACAUAAAUCUCAUCAGAUCAGAGAAGUGCUGAACAAUUUUCAAAUAAUUGAAUGAGUGCUGAUGUUGGGCUGCUUGCAAGACACAAACCAGCCAUUCUUCCAGAUUUCUAAACAUUUGAAAGCUCGACAAGAUGCUUCUCCAUAGGAGAUAAAGUAUGCAUGGCUGACCUGAACUAAGAAUUGAAUUGAGAGAAAUGUCUUAUAAUGCACUUUUCCACCUGUUCAUGUAUUUCACUGUUCCUGGCAUUAGCUAAUGAGCUAACUACUUAUUUGAGUUAAUAAGAUGGAGGGUAAGACAAACAUUUGAAUCUACAGAUGAACACAGCUAUAAUGAACUAGUAAUACAAUGAUGUUCUGCUUCCCUUGUGUCCCAAAUGUCAGCUGUGUCAAUGAGGGAUUUUAGAUGUGCUUGGUUUGCGGUUUGGGAUUUUUUGUGUUUGGCUGUUGCUUUUGGAGUUUGGGGGGGGGGGGUUGUUUUGUUUUUGUUUGAUGCUCCUAAUUGCCUGGUUUUAGCAAGGACAAGAAAGAAGAAAGCACUAUAGUACCUGAAGAAGAAAAACAUUUCCAGGAACACUAGGAGGUCAAGAUAGACACAGUCAGAGGCCUGAUAAUUUCAUUAGAAAGCCAGUUCACAUGAUAUCUCCAGAUUGAGAUGACUGUCAUUGAUGACACAGUCUGAAUAUAAUGGUGUUGCAAAGAUGCAGCUAAUACCAAACAAAGGCAGCCAGCAGGAUUCCUGUUUCUAGCAUAAUGUGUAAAAUGGAAACACUAGAAGUGGACUGUCAGAGCCUGAAGUGAACUUUUUACUUGUAAAGUUAGCAAACUUGUCAUAGAAAUAAUUCAGGCAAAAUGAAUUCAGAAAUCCAUGAACUGCAAGAUGAGAUUCCCCUUUAAGGGGGGUUUAUCUGUCUCUCUCUCUGUGAGUAAUCAGGUGUAAGAUAAAAAGCCCGACAAGCAUGCUAGGAAAGAGAACAGCUAUACCCUUUCCUCAGGUUCUAGACUAAUCAGGGAUUGAGAGCUAGGAUUUAUAUGGCAAGUUCAUACUAAACUGUUUUACUUGGAGAAGUAAAGCUUAAAUCUUAAAGAACGUGACUGAAGCCGUGCGGAUGCAGAGUGUUCCCGACUGCACCAUCUGGAACGCAUCAGGGGCAUGUUCCACGACUACUGUAUGAUGCCAUACUUCAACUACCUCUGCUGUCAGUACAGGGAGACAGGCUUUGGCCCUAAUAGUGAUUCCAUCUGGGUGAGUCUUCUAAAAAAUGUCCUCAAAAGUUUAUAGUUUGAAGUACAAAACCAUUUUGUGUGCAACAUAAGUAUGAAAUUACCUCAUCUGAGACCAUGAAACAACUUAAUCAUGCAAAGCCAUCUUUUGUAUAAAGGCAGAAAACUUCCAUCAAUAAAAAUAUGUACAGAGCUAUAAAUUUUGUGAAGAUCGUUGCCUUGGACAGCUCAUGUGUGAGAAUUAUGUACAGCAGAAUUAAUAAUAGCUGGAUGAUCUAAUUUUGCGUCGGAGUAUGUUACACACUUUGAAAGGUAUUCAACUUUUGGGUUUCCUGGAGCAGACAAGCUAUGGUAACUAGGCAGAAAGGGAUCACAGCAAACAAAAGCAGCAGAGUAUGAUUAAUAUUCAAGUUAUGAAUAGUAUGCCCUGAAGACACCAUUGGGACUUUCUCUUUAUUUUCUAGCCCACUUAUACUUUAAGGUUACAAAGUGGCUCAUUACUUUUAUAAACUAGAGAAGUUAAUCCGUAUUCCAAAAAUAGACUGGUCACAGCAAUCGCAAAAAAAACCAGAUUAAGUACCUGCCUCUGACUUCAAGAUAGACCUGGAUUCUUUCAUCUGUAUAAAACUCAUGCUGAGAAGCCCCAGUGAACUUCAAUUUUUGUUCUGCUGAUAUUAUUUAAAGGUUGGUGAAUUAUUUUUCUGACGUAAUUGUUGUUACACCACUUUUAAGACAUUACUUUUCUCACUGCUUCUCUGACACAGGUAGACCAAGGCAUUAAAGUUAAGUUUAUUGCCAAAGAUUGCGCUGUAAUAAUACACAGUGGACAGUACUGCAGCUUCUAAAUGAAGGAAGGAGAGAGGAAAAAGAAAUGGGCUUCAGAGUCUUAAAAAUUCAUGAUCAGCGAAUUCAUAUGUCACAGAAGAGUAUCGGUUUGGAAUCAUACAGUCCUGCAUACCAGGUGCUUCAACUCUAGUGGGACAAACUAUGUCCCACUCAACAUAAAUCAGGAUAGCUGUGCUGAUGUGCACCAGUUGAGGAUCUGGCUCUUUAACUCCUAGAUGACAGCAGAAACCACCUACGAGGGCAGGGGAAAAUCAGCUUAAGCACAGAGCUUCACUGCUGAUACACUGGUAUCUUCUAAACAUGCUGACAUAUUUCUUCUAAAAGCAAAAAUAGAGAAUUAAUACACAUAUGUAAAAGUAUAAUACAAAGAAUAUCUUUCCUUAAGGAAUUUCAAAUGUGCAUGCCAUGUUUUUCAUUCUAGUACAAAGGAUUUUCAUCUUGAUAACACUUACCCAGUUACUCAUUUUACAUGCUUGCGCAUACAGACCUCAUGAUUCAAAACAAACUCCUGCAUAAAAUGGCUUUCAGAACAAGCCAUACAUUCAGUUAACUUGACAGCCUAUGCUCAGUUUAAAACAAAACAAAACAAAACAAAACAACCUUUCUUUUGUUCGGGGGGGGGGGGGGGAACACAGCCAGUAGCAAUAAACUCAAAGGACAGUUUCUUCUGGUACCACAUCCACAAUGUUUGUCCUACUGGCAUAUGAUACAGUAUGUAAAAUUGCUAUGUUUCACAAUAAUUAUGUAAGAGAAAUCACAUGUGGUAUAAGCAGAAUGCAUAACAAAGAAAAGUAUAUGUUCAAAUAAACCAGUAGUUGUAUCAAAACUAAUAACUUCUUUACUGUAGCAGAGUCAAUGAGUUAACAGGUCCAGUGAACUUAAUGGUUUUAUUAUCCCCUUCUCUCUCUCUUUUUUUUUUUCCUCUUCUUCCCUUCAUUGAGACUCAGGACAUUUUUUCAUGAAUCAUUCUGUUUAUGCAAUCCAAGUAUAUUGUUAUUUGUGACUUUCUGCAUGAUCAUUUUGGCAUUUUAGGAGAGAAGAUGAUGGUUCAGUCUAAAUAUUGGGGGCGCUAAUCACUGACAUGGCAAGUUAUUAGGUUUUAUGCAAUAUAGAGAACAUUCACAGCCAUAGAAAACAGCAUCUUUCAUUUUUAGGAAUGGAGGUAAUUGUGCUUUGUGACAGUGCACAUCCUUAAGAUGUUAUGUAUCAUUGCGUACUUUAAAAAGAAGUACACUUUUCAUUGAUCUUUCAAUUUCAUUUUGAUUUAAAAAUGCAGAUCUUUCUCUCCAUUGAAAUCUUCACAUUUUUAUUUUAAAAUGUAUCGGAAAAAAAUCCAUUUCAGACAUAUGCAGCACCAUAAAUUACUUUUUGUGGUUCAAACAGUAUUCGCUUAUGUCAUGGGUUGAACAUCCUCCUUUAUUAGAAUGCUAUUUAUUGCCACCAGCUGCAGUGCUUAGCUAAGAAAGUUCUUGAC